CUGCAGGGUGGCAAACGUGGAGGGCCCCUCCUGCCAGGAUGGAGGACAAGUCAGUGAGGCCAUGCUCCCCUCCCCCAACUUCUCCCCAGCACCACCGGCCUUUGACCCUGGACAUCUGACCCCAACCAGCUGGCACCAAGGCUACUCCAACCUCCAGUGUGCUAGGAUUCUAGAACAAGCCCAGCUCCAACUGUCACUCUAAGUGUGGCCUGGUCUGGCCUCCCUGAGCCUGUUUCCUCGUCUGGAAAGGUUCUCAGGUGUGUCCUCGGCCGAGACGUGGAUGGAGAGGGCGGGGUGUCCUGGGAGCCUGGGUGAGUGGCUCCUGCCUGGCCCAGGCCCUGGAGAGUCUGGCCCCCAGGCUGGAACGGAGGCCACGCCAAAGCCUGCACUUCCUAAGGAGCCCCUCAGGACAUUCCCUGGAACAGAACUCUUUCUUCAUCCACUCAGGAUGUGGACCCCAAGGUGCCACCUCUGAUCAACAGGGAAGGGGGUGACAGGACACUUUGCUCCCUCAUUUACAUGAAGCUUCUGAUGUCUGUUCAGGAAGGAUCCACUAAGAAUCCAGAAUCCAUCAGGUCCCCAGACACUUCUCCUCAGCCACCUGGGACAUGUGUCCUUGCCAGCUGGGCACUCAGGUGGGACUCCUGUGACUGACUGGCUGUGACUGCUCGAGGGGCCCAGUGGCGAGUUCCAGAAUACACCCGGAUCUGUCUCUGGUCCAGCCAUUUGGACCCAAGGCUGAGCAGCCUGUUUGUCCACCUGGCCCGUGGGAAUCCCUGCUGUGCCCAUCCCUGGGGCGGGCGGGCUGCCCCCCUUGGAGGCAUGGUGAAGGCAGCAGAAGCGGCGGGGGCCUGGCUUAGGCUGAGGGCUAAACCCACCCCAACCACUUAGGAAGAAGCUAAGUCCAGCAGGUGGGACCUGCACAGAAGCCAGAGAUGUGUUGAUUGUGUGCCAGCCCAGCCAGCACCACCAUGUCCCAUGACCAGGGCCCCCUGCCCACAAACUUCAGCCCACCUGCCUGUGGACCAAAGAGAUCCCUCCUCUUGCUAAUCUGGACAAGACAGACUGGAAUUUUCAGAGGAAGUUUAAGUGAGAAACUAUCAAAGCCACACCCUGCCCCGUCCCCCUUCCCACCUCACCCUUCUCUCUUUCCAGACUCCAGCCUCCACUCUACUUUGGUCAUCAGUUGUCUGCUCAAGGAUUUGUCUUUUGUAUACAGCUCCUUAAAGUUUUCAGACUCUCCCUGAGGGGAGGGAAAGAAGGAAGGAUAAAUUUAGGAAUAAUGUCGGGGGUCUGAGUGCGAAUCCCUUUUCUCUGAAAACCCGAGAGAUUCAAACAGCCUGCACGAGUGCUCUCACUGGGCUCCUCCAAGCACUCAAGUCUCCAUGGGACCGGGGAUGGGCUCUCCUGUGGGCCACCUGGGGCCUCCAUUCCCAUUUCCAUUGAGCAGCUGUUUUGACCAGUUUGAGUUUCAGCUGGGUGUAGAGUUCUGUUUGUAAACACUUGAAAACCUCCAAUUUGGCUCAACCCAGUACCUGUCAUUUAAGGAAACAUUCCUGAAGCAGAACUGGUGCACUAAGGACCCUAGGAGGCUUAGAGACCCCUACCCCUGCCCCGCAAGGCCUAGGCCCUGUCCCCAGGGUCUGUUGCCUCCUGGGAGUUCCCAGGUGACUGAGGGGGCAAUGGCAGACAUAUGGGAGGUCCCUCACCCACCCUGAUCCCCCUAGGGAGAGAGGCCUACCCACCAGGAAACUUCAUCCCAUGUGUUCUCCAGGUGACUUAUGGAGCUUUAGGAUGUUGCACUCCCGGGAACGGGAAGAGAAUGGGCUGUCGGUGGGGCACUGGGGCCCCACUUGCUCUGGCUUCAGUCCCCUUCAAUUUAAAUCUCCGCUCCUGGAUGACACAGGUGCUCAGGGAGCCCCAGAAGGGCAUAUUUAGGACCCAAAGAGGAACACUCACAGGGAGCAGGAUUUUAGCUCUACCCAAGGAAGGAGCCAGGUAGGAAGUGCACAUCCUACUGCUGGGACCUGGAGUCCAAGUCAGUGUGCCCCUGGCAGGAAGGGCCUGGGGACUGUGCAGGGGCUUGGACAACACACUUCAAUACUGAGAACAGAUAAAGGUGAAGAGGUAGUUCCCAAGGCCCCAGAGAGGGACUGCACUUGGCCUGUGCAUACCUGUGCCACCUGGAUCCAGUGUUCCACCACCCUGGCCCUGUCCGAGGCUGUCCUGCUUGGGUCCCCUAGGCAGGUGAUUGUGAUGAAGUUGACUACCCUCUGGAAGUGGUCAGUGGUGGCCCGGACGGUGGGUGCCAGGUGCUCAUUCCCGAGCUUGAUCCUCUUGCCUCAGGAGGAGCCCAGGCACUGAGAGGGCACCACCUUCCUGAAGAGCUCCUGGGGAGCAGGGGGAGUGUCACCUGGCCCUGCCACACCCCAGCUCUGUGUCUACAGCCCCCAAAGUCCCAAGCAGGAUGCUCAGAGCUGGAGCUCAGGAAACUGAGGGUGUGGCCUGAGCCCUGUAGGAGUCCCUGGAUUGUAUUCUCUGUCCACUGAAGGCACUCAGCACAGGAUGACCCAGGACCCAACAGUGGCAGGGAAGGGAGAGGGCAUUUGCACCCAGCCCAUCCUGGCUAACUCCGAGUUCCAGAUGGCAGCUCAACUCGGCUCAUCCCGAGGGGGCAUCUUCCACCAUCCUGAUUGCCCUCUGGUCCCACUCCCCACUCUGAUGCACAUUCCCCCAUGGCAGCUACAGCCACUGGCUUUGUAUGUCUCCUUUGUAGUUAAGUAGACAUCAGGUGUCUAAAAAGUGCUGAGCCUCCUGAGCAAAUGGUUGGGCCACCCAUGGACCUUACCGCACACAGUGAGUUCCCCUUCCCCACAGCAGGGGCCAGGACCCACCCAGCUUUCUACUUCUUCUACCUCAUUGACAGCACAGCCACUCUGUGCAGCAGGUCCUGUUAGUGUCCACCUCUACAGUCUGCAGGUGGACAGCAAAGGCUUGGGGGUUAAGAAAGUUGCCCACAUCGUAUGGUUAGUCAUGGGUGGAGCUGGGAUUUGGGCCCAGAUCAUAGGAGUCUGGACCAGAUCUGGGGCAAUGAUGGCAGAGGGAAGGCCUGCCCCACCCCACCCUGAGAGACCAGCUGCUCACCGCAAUCAUCAUGAUCAUUACUCCGCCAGCAGCUUAGGAGGGAAGGCCCUGAGGUUGAGCUUCUCCUCACUUGGUGGGUUCUUACUGGCCACAGGCCUGGGGCAGGAAGGCUCUGGGUUUCAAGCCGGCUCUAUCUUUGGAGCUGGUGAUGGAAUUCCCAUUAGACCUGGUGGUCCAGGUGACUCCAGCUCAGGAGCUGCCACUCCCACUGGAGCUGAUGCUGGUCCUUGCUCCAGCUUCAACACUGCUGAUGGCAGGGAUGCUGGCUCCGACACUAUAGGUGAUGGUAUCAAUGGAGCUGGAGCUGGAGCUGGAGCUGGCUCUACCUCCAGACCUGGCCACUGUUGUGGUUCUGCAGCUGCCUGGAGACCUGGAGCUGGCACUGGAGCAGGAUAAAGAGAAAGGUUCACUCACAUAACUGACUUUCCAUGUGUCUUUCCCCAAACAGGAAAGAUCCCACUGCCCUUAUAGGAAUACCGAGCCUGUGAACCCCAUCCCACAUAGUCUUCCCUGCCUGCAGUCCCCCUUACCCUGUGGCUCUGCCUCAGUGAUAUCUGGAAGCUCCAAGUGGACCACCAGAAGAGGGUCACAGCAAUCCAGGUCCGAGCCAGGCAAGGUGACCUACACAUACAGCUCCUUUAGCUUGAAGAGGGGACAGUGCAGGGGCCACCAGGAAUUCUGCAGGUACUGUUCUAGUCAGGUGCCCAGGAAGAGAGAGAGGGCACUGGGGAGAGUCAUGUGGAGCAGAGUCAGAAGCCUGGCCUUUCAUUCCACACCAUGCUCCCACAGCACCCUUCUUUGGGUGGAGGACCCUGAAGAUGGUCCAGCCCAUACCAACCCCUCAGGCUGUCCUUGCAGUGGAAGGCCUGGUCAUUGACCAGGUCUAACAGAGCCUAUGUGCAUCUCAUCUGCCCACCGACACUCUUCUCCUGAGGGCCUGGCCAGAGCCGGUCCCAUCCCCCAUGUACAUGAGCAUCAGGACUGAGGUUGGAGGCAGAUUUGUGAGCAGGCGGCUCACCACACCUACUAUCUGGGGCCCCGGUGGUGGUGGUUAGGACAGGUGGAUGUGGAGAGGGCAGAGAGUGACAUGGGACUGUGGAAGGGAUGGGUCUCUCAAGGCCCACUCAGUCCACCUCCCCUCUGCUUCUCAGGGGGACUGGGACCCCACCCAAAGCUCUCUUUGACUCAUAUCCUCAUGGAGGGCAAGCCCCCAGACCUCAGCCCUCCCAUGGGAAUCAAAACCUGUGUGAGAUCCAGGGUUCUGCCAGUCAGUUCCUCCCAAGCCACAUUUCCCAGAGUCUCCCAGCCUCUUCUGUGGAGAUAGGAGGCCCCGCUUCUGCACCAAAAGACCACUCACAUUCUUAGAUGGUCCUGUAGUCGGUCACCCUGGAUGGAAUAUGGCAAGAUGCAUCCAUAUCUAGAAGAGGCCAUGGGGGCAUCACAUCUAAUGUACUGUGGACAUGACUGCUUAUGACGUCCAGAGUGACUGUCCCACUCUUAGACUGGAAUUGAGGCCCAAGGAUUGAGCCUGCUCCAUUCACUGAAUGACUGCAGUGUCUAGGAAAGUGCCUGCAUGGAGUAGGUGUUUAAUAGAUAUUGUUGAAUAGAUGAACUCAACCAGAACCUUCUCAGAUAUCUGAGUAGGCCUGGGGCUCCUCUGCUGGCUCAGAAAUCCUUAAUUUCACUACCCCAAGGACAAGGCCCAAGACCCAUUGAAUGGAAUUUCAAAACUCCUUUACAAAUGGGGAAACAGGUUGCUUUCCACUUGGUUUUCCAAACUCAGGAAAGCCAAAGGACUGAUUGGAGUGAGGCAGAGAGCUUCUCCAUAGGGAAGAGAGAACUGACAAACAUGAGAAUGUCCAGGACACCCCGCAGCCCCUCUGCAGAGCCAGGCACCAGGGAAGCAUCUGCCGUGGCUGAUCCCAAGAUUUCCUACAAUAACCCCAUGAGGUUCAUCUUCUGACCACCCCUCUUUCAGAAGAGUAAAGUGAAGCUCAGAGAGGUGUGUUCACAUUCUUCAGACACAGCUAGCAGGUGGGAGACUCAGCACUGUGCUGAGGAGGGGGCAGCUCUCGCCUGUGGGACAGCUGGCCCAACACCUGCUGGGUGGCGAAGGCCUGGUGGGUGCACAGGAAGGGAGCAGUGCAGAUGCUUCUCCCUGGGAGGCUGGCCCAGGGACUCUGCCACGUACUCCCUUGUGCCUGCCUUGGGGUCAGCAUCACGCAGGCCUGAUCAGGGGACAGGGCUGAGUCCUUUUCAUACCGAGUGGACAAAGAAGGACAUAUAGUUGGCAGCAUCACCAUGAGCCACCAGGAGGAUCAGGGCCUGGAGCUCAGACCAGAAACUCCCAUCACCUCAGGAACUGAUGCAAGGGGAGGAACACGAGUGCUCACACAGGAAAACGUUCUAGGCUUUAAAAGUAUAAUUUGAACUGGGGGGGAACAAUAAACCAUUGGCAACUUCAAGGCAUUCUGUCAGCUGAGAAACAAUAGCACCUCCCUGUAUUAAUGGCCUGUGUUAAGAGCAUUAUCCCAGUGAGUCAUCAGCAAACUUGCCCACUGUAGACGUUGGGAGACAAACUGUUAGGGAUUUGAGUGGCUACUCAAGAUCAUGCAGGUCAGAACCAAGAACAGUAUAUAGCAUGGGCUGCAUGACAUUCCCUCUCAACCACCUGAGGCUUAGUCGGCUCCUGACUUGGAAAGGAAGGCUCUGGGGAAAGCACAGUCCUGGGAGGGCCCUAGGGGAGUCGCCAGAUUCCAGUCUGGGAUCUGGGUCUACCCCAGUCAUCUUGGGGUACUGAGUUUGGAGACCUCUAUGUGCCCACAGUUAUCCCAGACCAGUGCUGGCUGCUGGUGGCCUGAUGCACCUGCCCCUUGUCCAGGGAGAUAAGAGUAUUUGAACCCCUCCACCAGCUCCUGGAGGAUGUCCUGGGUGGAGCUCUACAAAGACAGAGCCCAGUACCGCACCAAUAGGCAUCAAGGGACUUCCACCCAAUCUGUGGUCCCAUGUUACGGCAGACCCUGCACACUAACACAGUCUGUGAGGACACAUUUAACAUGUUCCCUGAAGCACUGCUGAAAUGGCAACAGAAUUGAAUCCUGUCAAGGUCCAGUAACAUCUAGAGGCUGAAUGGCUGUGGCAAAUGACCUCCUUAAUGGGAUAUUUUGAAGAUGAGUAAGGCCACAGCUCCUGACCUGGUGGGCCUACAGUGAUUUGAUGGGUUCUGUGAGAUGACAAGUUGCAGAGAAAUGUACACAAUACCUUACUCCCACUCCCAUUUUCGUACAAACCGCCCUAUCAGGUGUGAUGAUUUGUAAGGCUCUGAGAAGGUCUGUAAGGACAGUGGAGCCGACUCCUCCACGGGAUUCCCGGGUGGGGAUGCUAAAAUAAUCGAGUAGCAAAAUGCAAAGACCACAUAAAAUUCUUUCUCCACCAUUCCAACAAAUAUGCAAAGGGUGUAUUUCUACUCUACCACAUGGCGGGUGACUCAUGUGUGGGGAUCUAGAUUUCUUUGGGAUCAGGCCUGUGGGACGCUCAUGUGGGAAAGCCCUACACAGCCCCAGGGGAGUCCCCACAUUUGAGUCUGGGUACUGGUCCUGCCCUAGACAUUUUGAGGUCCUCACUGUGGAGACCCUCUGCUUCUGCUCUCACCUCAGACCAGCAUUGGAGGGUGUUGGUGGCCUGGUGCACCUGCCCCUUGUCUAGCGAGUUGGAGGAAUUGAACCCAUCCGCUGGCUCCUUGACACUUUCCUGAGAGGAGUUCUGCAAGACAGUGCCCAGGAGCUGGGCCAGGAGGAAUCAGGAGCUGCCUGCACAUUGUCACUGGGGCAAACUCCCAAGAGAAAUUCUGUUCCUCAGUUCAGGCACAGAGGGGCAUCUUCAAAGAACUCUAGUCAAGGAUGGAAUGAGAUGACACCUCUAGGGCUCGGUAACCAGGAGUGGAGGAGCUCAUGUUCUCAUGCUGCCAGCCACGACCUGGGGUAUGAGCAUGACAGACCCACCAGACUUCCAACCUUAACAACCAGCUCCUGCCCAGGAAUGACCUGCCUCUCAUCCCUGCCUUCCUCCUUCCAUACUCACACACACACACACACACACACACACAUGCACACGAUAAGGGGCGAAGGGCGUGGGGCUGAUCAGGUGGGAUCACAGUUGUGUCCUGCCUGCACUAGCCUUUCCUGGGCUGCUCCAUGUUACCUUUGGGUGCCCCCUGCCAAAGGCCAGAAGCAUUGGGGAUGAGGGGUAGCCAAUGUCUACAAUGAAAAAGGCUCUCUUUUUGGGCUUUUCUGAACCCAGAUCCUCUCAAAGUCAGGAUAUAAGAACAAAACAUCUUUGUUGACUGUCUCUGGUCAUGUGAGCUGGAUAGGGGGCUGUGGGUACCUGGUUUCCAGAGCUCUAACAUCUGUUGAGGUCUAUGACCAAGGAAGUAAGGUCAUUUUUCAAGAGUCCAUUACCUGGGCCCCUUGCUUUAAUCGGACUUGCCCAGAGCUGCCCCUGCUGCCAGGCUGCUCACCCUCCUCCCCCAGGUCAUCUCCUGUAUGGUACACUGAGCCAGCACAGCCCUAGCCACGGCUCCCUGGAAACCUAACCAGGGUCCUAGCUUUGAGGAGACAGAUGAACGCAGACCUCCUUUUUCUUACCAGUUUUGUGUCCUCAGAAAGUGACUGUGCCUCAGGUCCUCCCCAGUCUCCAAACCCCCACAGUGGGGAUCAGGCCAGAAUCUACUUCCCAGGGAUCAUCAGGUGUAUAUAUAAGAUAAUAUCUUCUAUAACCCCUGUGGCCUGGUGCCACAUGUGUUAAGUCACAAACUUAGAGGUGGAAGAAUUACAAGAAGGGGUGAGACGUAGCACAGAACACCACUGAAAGCAGGCCUGGGUCCCAGCAGUGUGACGUCGGAACAGUCACUUCCAACUUGGCUUCAUUUUCAGGUCGGCGUCAUGAGGGGGUUGAAAUGGGUGGAAAUUCAGAUAUUGUCAUCCUGUGGCAUAAAGCGGUUCAAUUGUUUCCUGAAUGUUUAGAAUGCGACCCAAGGGCCUCAUCUUGGCCUAUGGGGUGGAAUGCCUUGACAAUGGUAUCCAGUAACUCCCACCCAUUGUAUACACAUCUCUGUGUAACCACUAGGUUAGAAACCAACUGGCUUCUGAACAGAACACAGUAAGAGUGAUGGGAUGUCUCACCCAAAUUUUAAUUACAAAAGGUCUGUCACUUCCCUCUUACUCCCUCUCUCGUGUUCCAUCUCUCUCUCUCUCUCUCUCUCUCUCUCUCUCUCUCACACACACAUAUCCUCAGAACUAGGAAUCAAGCACCAGAGUUUGGGGCUACCCAGUGUAGAGGCCCAUAGAGGAGAGAAGCAAGGGCAUGCUCAGGCCAACAGACAGAAAGGAACUCAGCUCUCAGUCCAAACGGAAUCCUGAAAGCUGAGAGUGAACUUGGAGCAAACCCUCCCUGAGUCCAGCCUCAGCUGAGGCCUCAGCCUCAGCCUGGGAAACUCACUGAGGUAGAGGCAGCCAGAUAAACCAUGCCUAAUUGCUGGUCCACAAAAAUUGUGAGAUAGUAAACAUUCAUAGUUUUAAAAUGCAAGGUUUAGGGACAGUAAAGUCGGAGGGGAAAAGAUAACUAACACAGCCUAUCAGGCCCCAGGCCCUGGCCCUACCUUCCACCCCAUCUCCCGUUCUCUCCUCCCAGGCUCCCUCCAGCCACACUGCCACCUUUCUAACCUCCUCUGGCCAAACACUUCUGCCAGUGAGUCUCUGUACCAGUGGUGCCUUCUCCCUGACACAAUGCUCCAGAUUCGUGUGGAGCUGUUUCCCUCAUCAUUCCUGUCCCAGCAAAUGUCACCCCAGUGAGGCCUUUCAGACCAUCCUGCCCAGUUGACCCCCAGCCCUCCCUCGCAGCCCCCUGCUGUGUUUACUAUAGCAUCUGCCCUUUUCUUUCUCAUGUCUUUGCUGUUGUCCAUCUCCCCACUAUACUGUGAGCUCCUGACAGGCAGGGACCACUCGGUCAUUUUCAGCCUGCAUGGAGGCUACCCGGGCACCUGGCACAGGAGGAGUGCUUGGCACACAGCUGCUGAAUGAAGCAAUGAGAAGACCUUGCACCCUCCUCCUACUUCUGACCCACUUUGAUUGUGGAGAUGAAUGCUAGUAAUAGGAGUUGCAAAUUGUUUCUGAGGCAGGGCGCAGCCAGAAAGACCGCUGCAUGACUCUUUGCUGCUCCAGGAGCCCAAGCAAAGCUCAGUGGGCACUGUGGAAAUUUUGGGUGUAUGGCAUAGUGACUUGAUGUACAUAAAUUAUGUAAUGAUUACCACAAUAAGUUUAGUGAACAUCCAUCACCAAACAAAAUUUUUUUCUUGGUGAUGAGAAGUUCUAGGAUCUACUCUCUAAGAAACUUUCAAAUAUGCCCACACAGCAGUGUUAACUUAUACAGUGUUUAUAUAAAUUAUACCUCGAUACAACCAAAAACAAAUGAAAACAAAAAUUCAGUGGCCACCACUGACGCAAGAGGCUGCCUGCCCCCUGGUGGCCAGCACUAGCACUGCAGCCCAGGCAGGAACUCCCCCAAGCAGAAAGGCCGCUUUCUUUGGGUGUCCUCAAGGCAGAGGCUCUCCACUGUCCCAGGGGUAGAAGAGCAGGAGCUGCAGGUUUCCAGGGAGUGGGGGGAAUCUCAGGAGCCUCCUUUUCCCCUCAUCUUUCUGUCCCGCACCAGGGUGUCCUCUGCACUCAUGAGGCACCCUAACCUCAGCCAGGACAAUGAUGCCUCCCUACCUUGCAAUGAGGACCCCGAGGAUCCUCCAAGGACUAGUCUUCUCCCUGGAAUCUGGACUUGAUGUCCUGUGCUCUGGCUCCUUCCUUAUCCCAAGUCUCAUCCACCCAAGCCCCCAGGGCUACUCGGUUCUAAGGGAUCUCCAGGGAGUGGAAAGCAUUUUCUCAGGCUCUCAGAGCAGUGGGUCAUCGACGGAGAAGCCAUCCCAACAGACACGCUGUGAGGCAUGGAACUCUUGGAGCCACCCGCUGGGUGUUCUCCACUUUAUACAGGAGGACACUCACUGAGGGCUUCUCUCCUGCACCCAAGGUCUGCAAAGGGGAUGAUGGCCUCAUCACACUUCCAGGUGCUCACAGAGGUGGACUGCAGGACCCCAGUCCUGUCCUCACCAGGCAGGGCCAGGGACUGCUUUGGAAUAGGCAGAGACCUGGGAACCUUGGGGAUCCCUCUGCCCAUCUCUGGGUCCCCAGGUACGUAGCUAGGAGAACAGAUGCUACUGCCCCAUGGGAGAGCUGCCUCCAAUCUCUCUCUCUCCUGCCUCUUCUCACUUCCCUGGUGCCUGCUCUUUCUUGACUGCACCUCCUGGUCCCCACAUGAGGUCAGUGUGAGUGGGUGUGCCUGUGCACAUGUGAAAAUGCGGAAAGGAAAAUGGCCCCAUAUGGAGAGGGGGUGGGCUGGAAUCCUCUGGGAUCUUAAGCCCUCCCAUGCCAAAGGGAACCUGUAGGGAAGAGGCUGAGCUUUGGUCAAGAAAAUUGGAGCUCUCGCUCAACUUCUGGGCUCUGACCACCUCCUGUGAUCUGGGCCAGCACUUUCCUCUUUCUGGGCCAGUUUCCCAGCUGUACAGUGAGGGGUAAGAUGUGCCACAGCCCAAGCUUGUGCUCAGCCAGGAUAGGUUGUCAGGUUGCACGCUGGAUGGAGUGUCAGCGUGGGCUGCUGCUCUGGUGAGCAGAGACAUAAUGCUCCCUACCACAGAGACACUGGGAGACCAGGCCUCUGGUGUGAUUCUUGCAGACAAAAGGGGCCAUGUGCUAGCCCAAGGACAGCUCAUGUGUGUGAGGAAAUUUAUCUUGUGGUUUGUUCAAUUGCUGCCUGAAGGAAAGCAGGUUCUCUGUUCUAAAAGGUAAGGGAGAAGAAAACAGUAGAAAUGACCAGUGCUCCCUCCUACACUAACCUUCUAGCUGAAGAGGACGAGAGGAUGUCACUAUCACACAAACGGCAUCUGUUCAUCUACCACAGCCCCUCUUUUCAGGUUGUUCAUUCACUCACACACAGAACAGCAAGCCUUGCUUCCAAACUGGUAAAUAUGAAUGGGGUCCCUGCCUUCUGUUCCCAGCAGGGUGAUCAGAAGCACUGUGUGGCUUCCACCUGCCUGUGCCUUGGAAGCAGAUCAGAGCAAAUCCUUUCUAUUUCAUAAAUGGAAUUGUCUGGGUCUGAGGUUGUAGGGCCUCUUGAGAAACAACGCGUUCCUUAAGAGCUGAGGCAAAAUGGAAUCUCUGCAAAUGAAAUAAGUGCAACGCGCUAACCCCCACCCAUUAUACUCCCCAAAGACUUAGAACCUACAAGGUGAACAUCACCAGCUAAGUUAAUCCACACGAAAGUGAUAAAGGCCAAAAUGGCACAUGAUGAAAUUUAUCAUUGACUAAAUAUCGAUGGGACAAGAAACACAUCUGAACGCACUUUGAUAUGAAUAAUGCUAGUUGAGAAAGUUUGACUUGGUAGAAAUAAUGACACCUACAACAAAACUUAAAAUAGUUGAAUCUGUAGUCAGCACAUUGUGAUGUGGAUAAAAAUAAUCCAGCCACUCGCAUGAAAAAUAAUUGAUUCUGAUAAAAAAUAAUUUCAGUGAAUUAAAAAUAAAAGUAGAUACAUUAGAAUUGUUUUACAGAGCUAUAUUUUAAAGAAAUUGAUCAAGGAAUUCACACUGUAUUGCAUACUGCAAAGUUAAUAAGAGAGUCAAUCUUAAAAUCUCUCAUCACAAGAAAAAACAUUUGUAACUAUGUAUGAAGAUAGCUGUGAACUGGGAUUUUUUGUGGCGAUCAUUUUGCAAUAUAUAUAAAUAUCAAACCAUU
ensembl:lncRNA